AUAGCGGGGCAGUGUUUAAGAAGGUGACAGUGUGGGGGCAGGUUGUGGGGAUAACAGUGUGGAUGGGCAGACUGACACACAACAUGCCAUCACUAGUACACAUACACUGACAUACACUCAUUAAAGGACAGUCAUUGUCUCACACACUGUUUAACUAAUACACAUGUUCACUAACAGACACACACUGACACGAACACACUCUCAGAGACACAUCCACUCUCUG